rnacentral:misc_RNA from 1 species
GAAAUGCGAUAAGUAAUGCGAAUUGCAGAAUUUCCGUGAGUCAUCGAAUCUUUGAACGCACAUUGCGCCCCCUGGCAUUCCGGGGGGCAUGCCUGUCCGAGCGUCAUUGCUGCCCUUCAAGCCCGGCUUGUGUGUUGGGUCGUCGUCCCCUCCGGGGGACGGGCCCGAAAGGCAGCGGCGGCACCGCGUCCGGUCCUCGAGCGUAUGGGGCUUUGUCACCCGCUCGAUAAGGACCGGCCGGGCGCCAGCCGGCGUCUCCAACCUUUUUUUCUCAGGUUGACCUCGGAUCAGGUAGGGAUACCCGCUGAACUUAAGC